ensembl:snRNA U1 U1 spliceosomal RNA
AUACUUACCUGGCAGGGGAGACACCAGGAACAUGAAGGUGGUUUCCCCGGGGCAAGGCUUAUCCAUUGUAUGAUGGAUGUGCUGACCCCUGUGAUUUCCCAAAUGUGGGAAACUUGACUGCAUAAUUUAUGGUAGUGGAAGAUUGUGUUUGCCCUCUCUCCUA